rnacentral:lncRNA from 1 species
UACAUAUCCAAACUAUUAUUUGAUGUUUUAAAAACAUUUAUAAAAUAUUGACUUUAGUUUGUAUAUUUUUAUUUUCAUAGUUAAUAUAUUAUUAUAUAAUAAAAUUAAUUCAUUUAUUAAUCCGCGGUCGAUCUAGUGACCCAAUGACCCGGUAAGUCGUCCGGUUCAGUGUCCAUUCGGUUUUCAAAACAGUGGGUUCCGAGGUAGUUUGUAUUUAUAAUAGGAGAGUUUUAUAGUCGAUGUAGGUUAAGAUAAGUUAUGAUAGAAUAUAUUGUAAUCAAUGUAGGUUAUCGAAAAUCUUGGUAAAAAAUAUAAGUAGGAUCGAUUAGAUAUUUUGGUUGAUAGAAUUAAGGUAAAUUAUGUAAUUGGCCGUACUAAAUAAACUUGCAGAGGAAGUCAUCAGAACUUUAAGUGUUUUUGGGUUAGAUAAUAGUAAUAUUUAUUAACAAAAAAAAUCUAAAAAUAUAUCCACUUAACAUAUUCACAAUAUCUUCUUUAGGCUUACAUAGUUUGUUAACUUAAAUUUUAAAUUUUAAAUAUGUGAUUAGCAACAAAGCUUAUCGUUUAAAACUGUAAAUUGAAGUUAAUCUUUAAAAAUGUGAUUAGCAACGUUGGUAACAAAAUAUUGUACGAUGGUGAUGUAUUUGAAGUUAAUUGUAUAUAUUAUGUAAAUACUAUCUGAUGAAUAUUGUGGUAUGUAUAGGCUAUUGUGUUUUUAAGUUUUUUUAUACAGACAUGAUUGAUAUUUUAAUAAGUAAUAUUGAAUAAUGUGUUGACAUAUAUACCAUUUUUCACUCGGGAAGAGAAGACAUGUAAAGACAGUGUGAAACAUCCAAGAAGGUUUUUCAUUUUAACAAACAAAAGUUGCACGAUGGCAGGAUAAAGAUGUGAUGAAUAAUGUGGUAUCAUCGUAUAACCUAUAGUGUCUUAGGUCUUUAAUACAAAUCAUGUUUGAAGUGUAAUUUUCGUAUUAAUUUAAUAAGUAUAAUAUGUUACAGGUUUAGAAAUAGCUGGUGGGUCAUAUAAUCGAAGUUAGUUUUGGUACAAAGGUCUACUGUUAGUUUCAUAACUAUAAUAUGUCACGGUUCAAAAAUAGUGUGUGGCUCUUAUAAUUUAUUUUGUUUUGGUACGAUGGUUUACUAAUCCAUUAAACGGUUUAGAAUUAUAAUAAUGUAACCAGUCUGGUAGUUUGAGUAAAAAAGCGGACACAUCUUGUCACAUAUUGUUAUAAUAUAGAAGGUAAGACCAAAAAAAUGAAAAAAAGAAAGGGUCCAAAAUGACUUUCAUAGGUAGAUUUAUUAAAACUCC